GCUGCUCAGCUGCUUCGCCACAGGUAAUGGUGGUGUGGAAGAAGAGAACCUCUCCAUGACUCUUGGGCGUAUGCAGCGACAGCAGAUCCAGGAGCUGUGCACUAGCUACGCGCCGAUGUUCUCAGCUGCCCUUGGACUGACUGAACGGGCAUACCACUCCCUUGACACAGGUAAUGCUCAUCCAAUUAAAGCCCAUUCAUACCGGGUGACUCCUCAAGCCAAAACUGCUAUAGAACGGGAAAUCCAGGACAUGCUACAGAUGGGUGUAAUCUGCCCCUCUAACAGUGCAUGGGCAUCUCCAGUGGUUCUAGUUCCCAAACCAAAUGGGAAAAUACGCUUUUGCGUGGACUACCGUAAACUAAAUGCUGUAACUCGCCCAAACAACUGUCCAAUGCUGUGCACAAAUAAGCUAUUAAAGAAACUGGGACAGGCCCAGUUCAUCUUUACCUUAAACUUAACCAAGGGGUAGUGGCAAGUACUGCUGAAUAAAUCCGCCAAGAAAAGGUCAGCCUUCACCACCCAUGUACAUCUUUAUAAAUUUAAUGUGCUCCCUUUCAGGCUGCAAAAUGUACCCGCCACCUUUCAAAAACUUGUAAAUAGUCUCCUAGAGGGAUUGGAAAAAUCUGCAGUUGCCUACCUUCAUAAUGUGGCCAUCUUUUCUGAUUCAUGGGCAAAACACCUGAGCAUCUGCAAAAAGUCUUUGAGUGCAUAAGGAAGGCAAAACUAACUAUUCAGGCUAAAAAGUGUCAAAUAGGCCUAAACAAAGUGACUUACUUUGGACACCAGGUGGGUCAAGAAACCAUCAACCCCCUACAGGCCAAAGUAAAUGCUAUUCAAAAGUGGCCUGUCCCAAAGUAAAAAAAAAACAGGUCCAAUCCUUCUUAGGCUUGGCCGAAUAUUACAGGUGAUUUGUACCGCACUAUAGCCAAAUCACCGCCCACCUACAAACCUAACCAAAAAAACUCAGCCAAACGCUGUUCAGUGAACUAAAAAGUGUCAAAAGGCCUUU